UACAGAGGGUGCGAGCGUUGCUCCGGAAUCACUGGGCGUAAAGGGCGCGUAGGCGGCUUGAUAAGCGUGCGGUGAAAGCCCGGGGCUCAACCCCGGGUCGGCCGUGCGAACUGUCGAGCUGGAGCACUGUAGAGGCAGGUGGAAUUCCGGGUGUAGCGGUGGAAUGCGUAGAGAUCCGGAAGAACACCGGUGGCGAAGGCGGCCUGCUGGGCAGUGGCUGACGCUGAGGCGCGACAGCGUGGGGAGCAAACAGG
rnacentral:rRNA from 1 species